rnacentral:rRNA from 1 species
GACGAACGCUGGCGGCGUGCUUAACUCAUGCAAGUCGAACGGUAAGGCCCUUUCGGGGGUACACGAGUGGCGCACGGGUGAGUAACACGUGGGUGAUCUGCCCUGCACUUUGGGAUAAGCCUGGGAAACUGGGUCUAAUACCGGAUAGGACUACGCGAUGCAUGUCGUGUGGUGGAAAGCUUUUGCGGUGUGGGAUGGGCCCGCGGCCUAUCAGCUUGUUGGUGGGGUGAUGGCCUACCAAGGCGACGACGGGUAGCCGGCCUGAGAGGGUGUCCGGCCACACUGGGACUGAGAUACGGCCCAGACUCCUACGGGAGGCAGCAGUGGGGAAUAUUGCACAAUGGGCGCAAGCCUGAUGCAGCGACGCCGCGUGGGGGAUGACGGCCUUCGGGUUGUAAACCCCUUUCAGCACAGACGAAGCGUAAGUGACGGUAUGUGCAGAAGAAGCACCGGCCAACUACGUG